rnacentral:rRNA from 1 species
UACGUAGGGUGCGAGCGUUGUCCGGAAUCAUUGGGCGUAAAGAGCGCGUAGGCGGCCCGGUAAGUCCGCUGUGAAAGUCAAAGGCUCAACCUUUGAAUGUCAGCGGAUACUGCCGGGCUAGAGUCCGGAAGAGGCGAGUGGAACUCCUGGUGUAGCGGUGGAAUGCGCAGAUAUCAGGAAGAACACCAACGGCGAAGGCAGCUUGCUAGGACGGAACUGACGCUGAGGCGCGAAAGCGUGGGGAGCGAACAGG